CAGUCGCCGCGGGAAUACGUAGGGUGCGAGCGUUAAUCGGAAUUACUGGGCGUAAAGCGUGCGCAGGCGGUUGUGUAAGACAGGUGUGAAAUCCCCGGGCUUAACCUGGGAACUGCGAUUGUGACUGCACAGCUAGAGUAUGGCAGAGGGGGGUGGAAUUCCACGUGUAGCGGUGAAAUGCGUAGAUAUCGGAAGGAACACCUGUGGCGAAAGCGGCUCACUGGACCAUUUCUGACGCUGAUGCACGAAAGCUAGGGGAGCAAACAGGAUUAGAUACCCCGGUAGUCCCUGUCUCUUAUAC
rnacentral:rRNA from 1 species